CUGGUCUGAAAAGACAAAUAAAACUUUGUUAGGGAAGAUUUUGUCCCAGAACUCGAGCAAUGUUGCUAAUAAUCUGCCCUGCUGUUGGUAAUUUGUUCUACAGGAAAUCCCAAGAUUUAAUGAGUAAUUCUGAAGCGAUAACUGAUUCUUGUAAAAGACAACUUUUAAAGAAACCGAAAGUUCUGCCACUGUUCCUCAAAAACACUUCAGAAGUCCUUGACCUCAAUCUGUUUCACACUAACUGGCUCCUGUUCUGUGUUUUUUUUUUUUUUUUUUUUUUUUAAAUCAUAAAGGACUGUAAAGACAGAUUCAUGUGUGGGGAUGCAGAGAAAAGGAAAGCAGCUGAUUUAGAGGGCACACCUACUAUGAAAAUACUCCAGAAAUUCUUGACAGUGAUUUCUUCCCUGGUUUCCAACCCCCCCCCCCCCAGUGUUUCUACUUCAUUCGCCGCUGUCGUUCUUCCUUCUUCCUUCCCUCCCUUCCUCGUCGUGGAGGCGAGGUAUGUGGAGAAAGCCCUCUUUUCUGCCAUGACUGAGACUUGGUGAUAGCCAUCAUGCAAAGUAUUGAACACGGACAGGAGUGUAGUGCAUGUAAAUUGAGACGCCUACUGUUGCUUUCCUAUGGAAGAAAAAUGUCGAGCGGAAAUGUUGGACGUGUGUGGGAAGGGAGCUGAUGAUGGGCCAGCCUGCAGCGCUGAAGAUUUGCAAAAAGCCAGAUUGGCACACACACACACACACACGCACAUCUGGCUCCUCACUAGACAAGCAUCUGUCCACCCUGUUUGGCCGAUUGAUUAAACAUCCAACACUGA